GACGAACGCUGGCGGCGUGCUUAACACAUGCCAGUCGAACGGAAAGGCCCUGCUUUUGUUGGGUGCUCGAGUGGCGAACGGGUGAGUAACACGUGAGUAACCUGCCCUUGACUUUGGGAUAACUUCAGGAAACUGGGGCUAAUACCGGAUAGGAGCUCCUGCUGCAUGGUGGGGGUUGGAAAGUUUCGGCGGUUGGGGAUGGACUCGCGGCUUAUCAGCUUGUUGGUGGGGUAGUGGCUUACCAAGGCUUUGACGGGUAGCCGGCCUGAGAGGGUGACCGGCCACAUUGGGACUGAGAUACGGGCCAGACUCCUACGGGAGGCAGCAGUGGGGAAUAUUGCACAAUGGGCGGAAGCCUGAUGCAGCAACGCCGCGUGCGGGAUGACGGCCUUCGGGUUGUAAACCGCUUUCGCCUGUGACGAAGCGUGAGUGACGGUAAUGGGUAAAGAAGCACCGGCUAACUACGUG
rnacentral:rRNA from 1 species